AUGCUCCUCUCAGCCAUGUCCGUCCCCGCCUAUCUCCCAUUGCGCUCCUGUGCAACCAUACUUACGGAGUCAAGCCUUAUUUGGUUUGAUCAGAUUUGAUUCCUUGGUUUUGUGUAGGACAUGGAGAAGGCCAUCAUCCGAAAAGGUAAGCAUCUGGAGGCCAUAUCCGGUUUCAUCUCAAGGAACAAGUGUAAAGGCAUCAGAUCUAUUUACAAACAUGAGAUCAAUCCGCAUAUUAUGGAGCUCGAUCGAAAGGGAAGCGGGAUUAUAGGAACCAGUUAUAGUGAGGAUUUAUUUUUUGAUGAUUGGUAGCGAGAUCGAUGAAAACAUGAGGUGGAUUUUCAUGGGACACCAGGUUUGCUCGUGAGGAGGUGAGAGAAGUACAGAGGUAGAAGUAGCUUGAGAUGAUCGUGACAGGUGAGAUUGAUUAUUGCAACCCUCGUGUGGAUUUUUUAUGUGCAUGCACAACAACCCUUCAUUUGUGCCUUUGAUCAUCAGAUCAAACGACAAGUUUAUUGUCUGAUUAAUUAGAGAUUUCUAUUUUGGAAUGAAAUUAUCUGAAAUUUUGCUAUCCCGCUGGUCCUUACUAAUUCAGUAUAUACUAUAUUUUCAAGUUUGCCUAUAUAUAUACUAGAAUUUGAAGUUGCGACCAUCCAUUGUUCUACCGUGGAGAUCAGGAAUAAUGAUUGCAGUUGCAGGGCCGCCGCCGUUGCUGAACACAAACGGGGCUCGGAGCAGGCCAAGCUCCGAGGUCGACCGGGCAACGGAUUGUGGAGAGGCGCCCAAGGAUUUUUUUUUUACUACUGUUGAUUGUGCCAUCCAAUUGGUUUAGAGUUUUCACCAUUGCUAAUUACUAGGGGAGUACGGGUGCCGGACCUGGUAAGUGGCCUGCACGCUAUGCUCUUUGCAAAUAAUAUGCAACCAUGCCUGCACUGAAUUUUUAUUUAUUUCCGAUGUACCUUACAACAACUUCGUGAUGUAGCACUACUUUGCACUAGCAUGCACCUGCAGAUAUAAGUUGGUGAUGAUCUAAUUAUUUUUCAAGUCACAAGAUGUAAAUCUAUCUCCAACUCAUUAGUACUUCAAUUCUAGAAGAUUCACAUUUUUGUAUUUUUGUUUCAGGUUCUAAGCGAGGAAUUUUUGGUUGCAAAGUUGUAAAAGAAAUAUCUUCCUCAAAGUUGCAAAAGAAAUUUGUAGCAUGAUCAUCACCUUGUAGUUGGGAGAGAAUAUAGUUCUUUAGCUCAUAAGUGGUUAUGUUACAGUACUCAGCCAAGGGAAUGCCCUUCUCCGUAAGGCCGAUAUGAAGAUCGAGUUUGAAAUCAGCUAUCUCAAUGCAAAAUGCAUUUCCACAAUAGAGAUGGGGAAUGGAUACAUUGUUGUCGUCCUUCACUGAGCAGCCGAGUAGGAGCUCCUCCAUGCUGAUGAUGUGGAAGACAGAUACCCUGUCCGCGACGCCCGGCUCUGGCCUCAUAUAAAUGAGUCUAGAAGUGAUACUUUUGUGAGGAGUGCUGAAACAUGACUGGAUCAAGCGAGACGGAGAACGAUGGAUGAGAGAAAGAGAUCAGAAAAGGGAUUCGCUCCCAACCACCUCAUACAUACAUGUGUGAUCCACAACAUAGCUUGCAGCCUCUGAGAGCUCAGGAAGAUGUGGAGAUGAUUAUAGCUUGAAACAUUGUGACUUUUUUCACUUAGUGGUCAUGUAACAUACAGUGGUAACAAUGAAUUCUUGCUCAUUUGGUAAAACUUACAUCUGAACUUAUCAUGAUAAUUAACCAUUGGUUAUCUGAUGAUUAGCGCUGUAAUUAGUUAUCUACCUUCCAUGUGGAGCGAAUUGGUUAUUGCAAGUAGUUCAAGCUGAUUGAAAGUUAAUGUGGCUGGUUGUAAGUAAUGAUGAGGUUGGUUGAGUUGCUUUUCUAUAAGUACACGUAUGUACAUUUCUUGGACUAUUGUGAAUCAAACCACUUUCUACAGUUUCCAAAUGCUGAUGUUAUCUGCACAAACUAACUAUUAAUCCAUGUGCAACAUAUUUCAUAUUAUUAUCUUUUUGCAGGGAGCAACAACUUGCAUGUAAUCUGAGUGUAUUUCAGUCAAUCUGCUCUUUUCAUAAAUUUAAUGAUAAUGUAAUGUGUGAUCCUCUAUUUUUUUAUUUGUAUUUUUUUAUAAGUUGUCUGAAAUGGUUUGUCUCCUUUUUGUUUUAUUCAUCACCUAUCAGCAUUACUUCCCAUUUCUCAACAUUACUUCAACUAAGAAAAACUUUAGUUGGAAUGGGUUGUGUUUUAUUUAUUCAUCUACCUGAAGUCCAAAAGAUCACAAAUACACAACAGGUUUUAGAGAGAUUAAUGGUAUUGCACAUAAUCUUGCUCAACAGGUUUUUAGAUCCACUGGUAAUACUCAAGUUUGUUGCUUUGCUCAAACCCAUUCUCCUAGAUCCUGCCAUGUUGUGCCUCUCCUAUCAAAAUUUCAAAUUCCUGGUGUUAAAUUACAUAUUGUGCACUGCUAUUAGUUUUUGGUCUCCUCACUAUUAGCUUCUUUUCCUGUGCAAGCUGCUCUAUCAUGUUUGUUUUUCAGAUUUUCAUUUACAGGGCCCUUAGAACUAUGCUUGACUUGGACUAUUGGAGAUGCAAAGUAUUUCUUCUUUGUUUUGCAGGUUGUGCGCAUCUCUGGGAUGCCGAAGGAAGUUUCUCUCUUACAGGUCCGGUUUGGUGUAACUGCUCUGUAUCUAGCGGCUGCAGUGCUUGCUUGUUUUAAAUUUCUCUUCCCCUUCAGGCCUGCUGCCAUGUUUCGGCUGCAGUAUGUAAUCCUGCUUCUCCUGAUCAUGUUGGUCAUCGCAUUGUGGUCCUUCCACUUUGCUUUAUAGGAUCUUUUCUUUAGCUCAUUCUCAUAGUUUUUGCUUAUCCUCCCCUCUUAUCAUCUGCAGAUCUAUGUAACUCUCUUUGU